rfam:Triticum aestivum genome assembly, contig: Triticum_aestivum_CS42_TGACv1_scaffold_004083_1AL
GUCCUACUCCCUCCGUCCGAAAAAGCUUGUCCCUACAUCCCUCAAAUGGAUGUAUCUAGCAUUAACUUGGUGCUAGAUACAUCCAUUUGAGAGACAAAAUUUUCGGACAGAGGGAGUACUUA